rnacentral:rRNA from 1 species
GUGACUGCGUACCUUUUGUAUAAUGGGUCAGCGACUUAUAUUCUGUAGCAAGGUUAACCGUAUAGGGGAGCCGGAGGGAAACCGAGUCUUAACCGGGCGUUAAGUUGCAGGGUAUAGACCCGAAACCCGGUGAUCUAGCCAUGGGCAGGUUGAAGGUUGGGUAACACUAACUGGAGGACCGAACCGACUAAUGUUGAAAAAUUAGCGGAUGACCUGUGGCUGGGGGUGAAAGGCCAAUCAAACCGGGAGAUAGCUGGUUCUCCCCGAAAGCUAUUUAGGUAGCGCCUCGUGAAUUCAUCUCCGGGGGUAGAGCACUGUUUCGGCUAGGGGGCCAUCCCGGCUUACCAACCCGAUGCAAACUGCGAAUACCGGAGAAUGUUAUCACGGGAGACACACGGCGGGUGCUAACGUCCGUCGUGAAGAGGGAAACAACCCAGACCGCCAGCUAAGGUCCCAAAGUCAUGGUUAAGUGGGAAACGAUGUGGGAAGGCCCAGACAGCCAGGAUGUUGGCUUAGAAGCAGCCAUCAUUUAAAGAAAGCGUAAUAGCUCACUGGUCGAGUCGGCCUGCGCGGAAGAUGUAACGGGGCUAAACCAUGCACCGAAGCUGCGGCAGCGACACUAUGUGUUGUUGGGUAGGGGAGCGUUCUGUAAGCCUGCGAAGGUGGCCUGUGAGGGUUGCUGGAGGUAUCAGAAGUGCGAAUGCUGACAUAAGUAACGAUAAAGCGGGUGAAAAGCCCGCUCGCCGGAAGACCAAGGGUUCCUGUCCAACGUUAAUCGGGGCAGGGUGAGUCGACCCCUAAGGCGAGGCCGAAAGGCGUAGUCGAUGGGAAACGGGUUAAUAUUCCCGUACUUGGUGUUACUGCGAAGGGGGGACGGAGAAGGCUAUGUUGGCCGGGCGACGGUUGUCCCGGUUUAAGCGUGUAGGUGUGUGUUCCAGGUAAAUCCGGUUCACUUUAACACUGAGGCGUGAUGACGAGGCACUACGGUGCUGAAGCAACAAAUGCCCUGCUUCCAGGAAAAGCCUCUAAGCAUCAGGUAACAUCAAAUCGUACCCCAAACCGACACAGGUGGUCAGGUAGAGAAUACCAAGGCGCUUGAGAGAACUCGGGUGAAGGAACUAGGCAAAAUGGUGCCGUAACUUCGGGAGAAGGCACGCUGACACGUAGGUGAAGUGAUUUACUCAUGGAGCUGAAGUCAGUCGAAGAUACCAGCUGGCUGCAACUGUUUAUUAAAAACACAGCACUGUGCAAACACGAAAGUGGACGUAUACGGUGUGACGCCUGCCCGGUGCCGGAAGGUUAAUUGAUGGGGUUAUCCGUAAGGAGAAGCUCUUGAUCGAAGCCCCGGUAAACGGCGGCCGUAACUAUAACGGUCCUAAGGUAGCGAAAUUCCUUGUCGGGUAAGUUCCGACCUGCACGAAUGGCGUAAUGAUGGCCAGGCUGUCUCCACCCGAGACUCAGUGAAAUUGAACUCGCUGUGAAGAUGCAGUGUACCCGCGGCAAGACGGAAAGACCCCGUGAACCUUUACUAUAGCUUGACACUGAACAUUGAGCCUUGAUGUGUAGGAUAGGUGGGAGGCUUUGAAGCGUGGACGCCAGUCUGCGUGGAGCCGACCUUGAAAUACCACCCUUUAAUGUUUGAUGUUCUAACGUGGACCCGUAAUCCGGGUUGCGGACAGUGUCUGGUGGGUAGUUUGACUGGGGCGGUCUCCUCCUAAAGAGUAACGGAGGAGCACGAAGGUUGGCUAAUCCUGGUCGGACAUCAGGAGGUUAGUGCAAUGGCAUAAGCCAGCUUGACUGCGAGCGUGACGGCGCGAGCAGGUGCGAAAGCAGGUCAUAGUGAUCCGGUGGUUCUGAAUGGAAGGGCCAUCGCUCAACGGAUAAAAGGUACUCCGGGGAUAACAGGCUGAUACCGCCCAAGAGUUCAUAUCGACGGCGGUGUUUGGCACCUCGAUGUCGGCUCAUCACAUCCUGGGGCUGAAGUAGGUCCCAAGGGUAUGGCUGUUCGCCAUUUAAAGUGGUACGCGAGCUGGGUUUAGAACGUCGUGAGACAGUUCGGUCCCUAUCUGCCGUGGGCGCUGGAGAACUGAGGGGGGCUGCUCCUAGUACGAGAGGACCGGAGUGGACGCAUCACUGGUGUUCGGGUUGUCAUGCCAAUGGCACUGCCCGGUAGCUAAAUGCGGAAGAGAUAAGUGCUGAAAGCAUCUAAGCACGAAACUUGCCCCGAGAUGAGUUCUCCCUGAGACUACGAGUCUCCUGAAGGAACGUUGAAGACGACGACGUUGAUAGGCCGGGUGUGUAAGCGCAGCGAUGCGUUGAGCUAACCGGUACUAAUGAACCGUGAGGCUUAACCUUACAACGCCGAAG